CCUACGGGAGGCAGCAGUGAGGCAUAUUGGUCAAUGGCCGGAAGGCUGAACCAGCCAUGCCGCGUGAAGGUCAGUGCCCUAUGGGCGUUAAACUUCUUUUGUGCGGGAGCAAUAAUGGUCACGUGUGGCCAGACGAGAGUACCGUACGCAUAAGCAUCGGCUAACUCCGUGCCAGCAGCCGCGGUAAUACGGGGGAUGCAAGCGUUAUCCGGAUUUAUUGGGGUUAACGGGUGCGUAGGCUGGGAGGUAAGUCAGCGGUGAAAUGCCCCCGCUCAACGGGGUGAAGUGCCAUUGAUACUGCCUUGCUGGAAUGCGGAUGCCGUGGGAGGAAUGUGUGGUGUAGCGGUGAAAUGCAUAGAUAUCACACAGAACACCGAUUGCGAAGGCAUCUCACGAAUCCGCGAUUGACGCUGAUGCACGAAAGCGUGGGUAUCAAACAGGAUUAGAUACCCCUGUAGUC
rnacentral:rRNA from 1 species